GCAAGAUUAAAACUCAAAGGAAUAGACGGGGACCCGCACAAGUGGUGGAGCAUGUGGUUUAAUUCGAAGAUACGCGAAGAACCUUACCUAGCCUUGACAUUGAUAGAAUCUUCCAGAGAUGGAGGAGUGCCUUUAGGGGAACUUGAAAACAGGUGCUGCACGGCUGUCGUCAGCUCGUGUCGUGAGAUGUUGGGUUAAGUCCCGCAACGAGCGCAACCCUCGUCACUAGUUACUAACAGUUAGGCUGAGGACUCUAGUGAGACUGCCUUCGUAAGGAGGAGGAAGGUGAGGACGACGUCAAGUCAUCAUGGCCCUUACGGCUAGGGCAACACACGUGCUACAAUGGUUAGGACAGUGAGAAGCGAUACCGCGAGGUGGAGCCAAUCUAUAAACCUAAUCUCAGUUCGGAUUGUAGUCUGCAACUCGACUACAUGAAGCUGGAAUCACUAGUAAUCGUAGAUCAGCUAUGCUACGGUGAAUACGUUCCCGGGUCUUGUACUCACCGCCCGUCACACCAUGGGAGUUGAUUUCACCCGAAGCGGGGAAGCUAAACUGGCUACCCUCCACGGUGGAAUUAGCGACUGGGGUGAA
rnacentral:rRNA from 1 species